rnacentral:siRNA from 1 species
AUUGGGAAGCAUUGUGUGAACUAC